rnacentral:rRNA from 1 species
AUGGCUAACCUCAUUCAGCAGCAAUUACUUCGCGCUCAACAACGAAUGAAGAGUCAGGCGGAUAAACAUCGUUGUGAACGCUCCUUUGAAGUAGGAGAACAAGUAUAUUUGAAGCUGCAACCCUAUGUUCAAACCACGGUGGCUCGCAGAUCCAACCAAAAACUAAGUUACAAAUUCUUUGGUCCCUACAAGGUACUAGCAAGGGUGGGUGCAGUAGCUUAUAAACUGGAGUUACCACCUGGCAGUCAAAUUCAUCCGGUCGUUCAUGUCUCCAUGCUCAAAAAGGCUAUGCCAGCAACGGUUAUUGUUCAACCAGACUUACCAAGUACAUGUGCAUCUCUGGAAUGUCCACCUCAACCACUUCAGGUACUCGAUUCCAACCACAUUUCUGCUGGUAAUUCAACUGUCGAGUUGGUGCAGAUUCAGUGGACAGGGCUACCAUCGUCUUGGUCGACCUGGGAGAACAAACAACAAGUAAUGCAAGAGUUUCCAAAUGCUUCUGCUUGGGGUCAAGCAGUUCCUGAAGCGGAGGGGAAUGUCACGGACGUGACCCUGUCAAGGCCCAAGUGGAAGAAGCCCAACAACAGGGCGGCCCAGUAG